rnacentral:lncRNA from 10 species
ACUCGUCCUACCCGCGCCUACUUGGGCGGUACAGCCGGGAGCAGGCUACGAACAUGCAGACCCGGCCUGCGAGCGGAACCCACCAAGAAACACGCCAGCCAGGGCAGGGGCGUGUAGGAGGGAUUCGGUAACCCGAGAGACGAGUGGGAAAGUAGGAAAGGACUCCAAGGCUCUAAGGAUGGAAGAGUCAUAAUUGGAAAGAGCCUGGGUACCUGAAUCACUGUAUGGAGGAAAAUCACUUGCUGAGCAGGAACAUCCUCAUUGGACUAGCUAUGUGGGGACACCCACAGGGCCAGAGGUUGAAGGCAUAGGCGUUGA